rnacentral:rRNA from 1 species
AUUGAACGCUGGCGGCGUGCUUAACACAUGCAAGUCGAGCGGUAACAGGCGUAGCAAUACGUGCUGACGAGCGGCGAACGGGUGCGUAAUACAUGGGAAUCUGCCCUUUGGUGGGGAAUAACCCGGCGAAAGCCGGGCUAAUGCCGCAUAAGAUCUUCGGAUGAAAGCGGGGGGUCGUAAGACCUCGCGCCGAUGGAUGAGCCCAUGUCGGAUUAGCUAGUUGGUGAGGUAACGGCUCACCAAGGCGACGAUCCGUAGCUGGUCUGAGAGGACGGCCAGCCACACUGGGACUGAGACACGGCCCAGACUCCUACGGGAGGCAGCAGUGGGGGAUAUUGGACAAUGGGGGAAACCCUGAUUCAGCGACGCCGCGUGUGUGAAGAAGGCCUGCGGGUUGUAAAGCACUUUCGAUGGGAACGAAAUGUGCCGGGCUAAUACCCCGGCAAGCUGACGUUACUCAAUGAAGAAGCACCGGCUAACUCUGUGCCAGCAGCCGCGGUAA